UGACCAGUGCCUGCCACCGGAAGUGUGU
rnacentral:piRNA from 1 species